UACAGAGGGGGCAAGCGUUGUUCGGAAUUACUGGGCGUAAAGGGCGCGUAGGCGGCCAACUAAGUCAGACGUGAAAUCCCCAGGCUCAACCUGGGAACUGCGUCUGAUACUGGAUGGCUUGAGUUCGGGAGAGGGAAGUGGAAUUCCAGGUGUAGCGGUGAAAUGCGUAGAUAUCUGGAGGAACACCGAUGGCGAAGGCAAUCCCCUGGGCCUGCACUGACGCUCAUGCACGAAAGCGUGGGGAGCAAACAGG
rnacentral:rRNA from 1 species